rnacentral:lncRNA from 1 species
GUUAUUUCCAAAUGCUUUUAUGCUUCCUGAUGCUAAGAUACACAUAGUGAAUCAGAGGAUAGCGUCCAAUAUACAUUAACACUAAAGUAUCCUAGUUUUGACAUCAUACAAAACACAUUUAGUGGAAGUUGCACUCACAUACUCCCCCUUUUCUAUGAUGGCAAAACUUGAGACGGUGUGUUUGCAAUGGAAAGCUCCCCCUUAACAUAUGCAUCCCAAUUUAU